GGAGGGGUGUCCGAGUGGUUUAAGGAGCACGCUUGGAAAGCGUGUAUGCGGGCAACCGUAUCGAGAGUUCGAAUCUCUCCCCCUCCG
rnacentral:tRNA from 1 species